rnacentral:snoRNA from 1 species
AGGUGCCCCAGGGGUCAUUUCUGUGUUACUAGAGAAGUUUCUCCGAAUGUGUAGGGUCCCUACAACCACAAGGAGGAAAUGCAGUAUCCUUUCCUGAAUAUGAAGCAGGCUUUGGUGUUGCUUUUGCAGCUGCUCUUUGCCCUUGAAGAUGGUUCUUUUCAUCCUUUGGGGGAUUAAGAAGGAAGGGACAUAGUCUGAGUGGU